AGUGAACGCUGGCGGUAGGCCUAACACAUGCGAGUCGAACGGCAGCACAGUAAGAGCUUGCUCUUACGGGUGGCGAGUGGCGGACGGGUGAGGAAUACAUCGGCAUCUACUUUUUCGUGGGGGAUAACGUAGGGAAACUUACGCUAAUACCGCAUACGACCUACGGGUGAAAGCAGGGGAUCUUCGGACCUUGCGCGAUUGAAUGAGCCGAUGUCGGAUUAGCUAGUUGGCGGGGUAAAGGCCCACCAAGGCGACGAUCCGUAGCUGGUCUGAGAGGAUGAUCAGCCACACUGGAACUGAGACACGGUCCAGACUCCUACGGGAGGCAGCAGUGGGGAAUAUUGGACAAUGGGCGAAAGCCUGAUCCAGCCAUACCGCGUGGGUGAAGAAGGCCUUCGGGUUGUAAAGCCCUUUUGUUGGGAAAGAAAAGCAGCAGGUUAAUACCCCGCUGUUCUGACGGUACCCAAAGAAUAAGCACCGGCUAACUUCGUG
rnacentral:rRNA from 1 species